rnacentral:rRNA from 1 species
UACGGAGGGUGCAAGCGUUAUCCGGAUUUACUGGGUUUAAAGGGUGCGUAGGUGGUCUAUUAAGUCAGAGGUGAAAUCUUUACGCCUAACGUGAAAAUUGCCUUUGAUACUAUUAGACUUGAAUUCUGAGGAGGUGAGUAGAAUAUGACAUGUAGCGGUGAAAUGCAUAGAUAUGUCAUGGAAUACCGAUUGCGAAGGCAGCUCACUACACAGAUAUUGACACUGAUGCACGAAAGCGUGGGUAGCGAACGGG